UACGUAGGCAGCAAGCGUUGUUCGGAGUUACUGGGCGUAAAGGGUGCGUAGGCGGCCUAUUAAGUCAGGGGUGAAAGACGGUAGCUUAACUAUCGCAGUGCCUUUGAUACUGAUGGGCUUGAAUGGACUAGAGGUAGGCGGAAUGUGACAAGUAGCGGUGAAAUGCAUAGAUAUGUCACAGAACACCAAUUGCGAAGGCAGCUUACUAUGGUUUAAUUGACGCUGAGGCACGAAAGCGUGGGGAUCAAACAGG
rnacentral:rRNA from 1 species